AGUGCGGAUGCACUGAGAAAGGCGCAAAAAAAAAAAAAAAAAAAAAAAAAAAGAGAGGGAAAAGAAAAAGAAUCUCUCAAACUUUGGCCAUUUGGUGCUGGAUUCAGCUUGGAGACCUGCUUUACCACCCGACCGAGACAGCAUAAGUUGAUUCUUGGUAAGUAUUGCAUUUACUGUGUUUUGUACAUUUAUAAUAUUAUCAGCAGCUAGGUGUAACAAGAAUAACAUUCAGUUGAAAUUUGUGCAUUUUAUGUAGUCUUUUCAUGAAACCGUUUCAAUGAAGUAAGCUAUGAAAUAGUGUGAUGGCUGAGAUUUUUACUUGUUUUUACUCUUUCUGCCUCAACAGAAUCUUUUCAACUUCCAUCUACACUUCUGGACCACCUUACUGCAGUGAGAUGAUUUGGCGUUGUGUCAUAUGCUACAUUUUUGUGGCACUAACUCUGAAAAAACUACUGGGCCACAUUAAUACUAUGCACAGUCGCAGUCCUGACUUUCGUGUAGUAUGUGGCAUUGAUGGCUGUCCCAGUGAGUACCGGGUGUAUAACUCCUAUUAUUAUCACAUAAAGCGAAACCAUGCACACCACCUUCUGCAAGCUGAAGGAGAGGAGGAGGAGGAAGAGGCAUCGACUCUGCAUUACUCACCAGAAACAUCCGAAAUGGCAGCAACAAUUAACCAAACAGGGGUGAGCAUCCCCGAAAUGGCCAGUUCAGCACAAGAACAUUCUUCUGAGAUUGAAAGAGGUCCACACAUCAUCAACCAAACGAGUGGAUUUCAAGAAGGUCAAGACCACAUCAACCUGUGUAAACAAGCAACCGGAUUUCUCCUUCAAGCCAGAGAAACCCAGCGCCUAACACAAAGAGCUGUUAACCAGAUGGUGAAUGGAGUCCAGCAAUACCAGGCUUCACUGUUGGAGCACCUGAAACAUCAAAUGAGUAGUGUGUUCGAGAGACAUUCUGGGGACCUGAAUCAACUGAAGAGUGAAGUAAUGAGCAUAUUUGACCAGUUUGAUGACCCUUUCAACCAAAUUUCCACAACAUACUUGCAGAAUAA